UAACAACAUAUUGCGUGGUAAAGGGAAACAUGGUACCGUAUCACUUUGUAUGAUUAGCUGGCUAUGGACUUUAUCAUACAAGUUUUAUUUUAGCGCAAUAUAAAAAGGAAGGUUAUACAUGGUUAGAAACAAAAAUUAAAAAAAAAAAAAUUGAAGAUAAAAAUCAAUAUUAAGACUUUUUAUAGAAUAUAAAUGUAAAAAUUGUCUUGUUUAAAA